AUGGCUGUCGUCAGCUCGUGUCGUGAGAUGUUGGGUUAAGUCCCGCAACGAGCGCAACCCUUACUUUUAGUUGCUACCAUUUAGUUGGGCACUCUAAAAGAACUGCCAGUGAUAAGCUGGAGGAAGGCGGGGAUGACGUCAAGUCCUCAUGGCCCUUACGUGUUGGGCUACACACGUGCUACAAUGGUACUUACAGUGAGAAGCAAAGAGGCGACUCUAAGCCAAUCCCUAAAAGGUACCUCAGUUCGGAUUGUACUCUGCAACUCGAGUACAUGAAGCUGGAAUUACUAGUAAUCGCGGAUCAGCGCGCCGCGGUGAAUACGUUCCCGGGUCUUGUACACACCGCCCGUCACACCACGAAAGUUGGCAACACCCGAAGCCAGUGGCCCAACCCUUUGGGGAGGGAGCUGUCGAAGGUGGGGUUAGCGAUUGGGGUGAAGUCGUAACAAGGUAGCCGUACCGGAAGGUGCGGCUGGAUCACCUCCUUUCUAAGGAGUCACCUCCGACCAUGGAGCCAUAACGGUUCCUUGAGUCAGACGGAGAUUCCCAGUUGGAGCACUGGUGCUGUCGUCAGCUCGACUAAAGAGUUUGUAGAUACCACCCAUAUCCUUCGGGACAUGGGCCGGAGACUCGCUCAAUAGUUCUGAACGUGGCUCGUUCUCUGUUCUGCUGCCGAGGAGCGCUGUGCGCGUCUCGUGUUGCCCGUCGAAAGGCAACCCAAGACGUGGCUGCGCUGCGUUGAAGCGGCCCGUUUGAUUAUGGGAUUUCGGCUGCACUUUGAGAACUGCAUAGCGAUGCACGAGCAUCUUGAUUUAUUGGCCUUGCGGGCACCAGCCUCAUAGGUCUAAUAGAUCUUAUGAUUUGUUGACUUUUACAAGGUUUCGGCCCUGGAUAAGUUAGCGAAUCUACCGUUCGUUCCAAGUCAACACGGCCUCAUCUCAGCUGAGUCUGAGUCCGUGUGGAGCGACGGUUUUGUUUUUUCGAAUCUGAGUAUCGAUAUACCCAAGCUACGAAGAGCCAAUGGUGAAUGCCUUGGCGCCGAACACCGAAGAAGGACGCGACUGGCUGCGAUAAGCCACGGGGAGCCGCCGAGUAGGCCUUGAUCCGUGGAUGUCCGAAUGGGGAAACCCGG
rnacentral:sRNA from 1 species